GGCGGACGGGUGAGUAACACGUGGGCAACCUGCCUGUAAGACUGGGAUAACUUCGGGAAACCGGAGCUAAUACCGGAUAAUCCUUUUCCUCUCAUGAGGAAAAGCUGAAAGACGGUUUACGCUGUCACUUACAGAUGGGCCCGCGGCGCAUUAGCUAGUUGGUGAGGUAACGGCUCACCAAGGCGACGAUGCGUAGCCGACCUGAGAGGGUGAUCGGCCACACUGGGACUGAGACACGGCCCAGACUCCUACGGGAGGCAGCAGUAGGGAAUCUUCCGCAAUGGACGAAAGUCUGACGGAGCAACGCCGCGUGAGUGAUGAAGGUUUUCGGAUCGUAAAACUCUGUUGUUAGGGAAGAACAAGUACAAGAGUAACUGCUUGUACCUUGACGGUACCUAACCAGAAAGCCACGGCUAACUACGUGCCAGCAGCCGCGGUAAUACGUAGGUGGCAAGCGUUGUCCGGAAUUAUUGGGCGUAAAGCGCGCGCAGGCGGUCCUUUAAGUCUGAUGUGAAAGCCCACGGCUCAACCGUGGAGGGUCAUUGGAAACUGGGGGACUUGAGUGCAGAAGAGAAGAGUGGAAUUCCACGUGUAGCGGUGAAAUGCGUAGAGAUGUGGAGGAACACCAGUGGCGAAGGCGACUCUUUGGUCUGUAACUGACGCUGAGGCGCGAAAGCGUGGGGGAGCAAACAGGGAUUAGAUACCCUGGUAGUCCACGCCGUAAAACGAUGAGUGCUAAGUGUUAAG
rnacentral:rRNA from 1 species